GCCAUUGUGAGCUGGUCAGUGUUGUUUUCCAAACGCUGAAGUCCAGAAUGUCCCCGGACGCCUCCACGAGGGUCCUGGAGUCGCCUGGUCCGAGUAUAAAUUGCUCGCAGACCCCCCGGCGAGAGAAAGGAAGCGACCAGAGAGACUCAUACACCCGGUAAACGGACCGUUCAUUCGGAAUGACUGACACGCGGAGAUUUCAGUCGGGUUGUCUGCUGCCCUCCUGUGGCAGGAGUAGAAACACUCCAUUACAGAGGCCACUUCGCCAGAUUGGUGACCAGCUGGAGCUCCAGUGUCACGCCUGAUAAAAAGUCCUAAAAGCAAUUGUCUAACUAGUUAGCUAACUAGCUAGCAACAUUUCCUACAGCUGGAAGAUGGCGAGGAGGAACUUUAUUUUGCCUCGUAGAUGGACAGAAUGACAGCACUCGACAAUCCAUGACCCGAUGUGUGUCUCUACCACAGUGGAGUCAUCUGCAUGUCAGAGACCCCUGUGCUUGAAAACAAAGGCCUCACCUGUAUGAUCACCCACCCUGCUGAAGAGACUGAAAGACUGGGCUGGAGAUUUUACUAAUUAGACCAUCAGCAGCAGCUUUAUUCUGUCUGGUUUGGUGACUGUGUGUCCUCUGUGCACUCCAACUACAGCAGUUUCACCCUCUGACACAGCCGUGAUGGACUUGAUUCUCAUUGUCACUCACAUGUGAGGUGACCUCACAUUACUAGAUGCUCACGUUACUCAGUGGUCUCUUCUGAUUACUCCUAAGAUUUCUGUUUAAUGACUAUGCUUGCUAUCUAUCUAUCUGUCAUUACUAAUUACUGUAUGCUCCUAUCUACCAUUGCUUUUUUGCAUUGCUUGUGAUAUCUUUAUGUUCAUUAUGCAAAAACCAGUAAAAACUGUUACCUUUGCCCUUAAAUGCCAGUUCUUAAAGUUCUCCUUAAAGUUCUCCUGCUUAAACUUCUCACUCUUAAAGUUCUGGUUCUUAAAUUUCAGUGUACAUCAGUUUUCUUAUAUUUGUCUUUAGUACAAUUUUUAUUCAUGAGUUAUUUAGUCCAACCACUGUGCAUAAACCAUGUUAAAAAUCUCUAUCAACUAAUUAGUGUGGAAAAACAUUAGAAUGAUCUGAACAUGACAGUCAUUUUGGUUUUGAUUCUAGUUUUUGUGCUUCUGUGUGACAUUUUAAAUCUAAUUUAAAAUCAACUCAAUGCUAUCUUAUUUCAGUGAGGGUGUACAUGUCAUGUGACCCAUUAGACCUUUUAUAUCUGUUAUUUCUGUUCCAUUGGUGUGUAUUGACUCAUUAGUAUUGUUGAACAGUUCUGAUCUGUUCUACCAUCCAUAUCUGCUCUGUCAGUAAAGCCCCUGUGCUUUGA